AGGACCAAAAUGAGAGCAAACACACAAGUGUUCGAGGCUUCAUACUUCACCGCUCAAACAUUUGGGGGACUAUACUAUAUACACACGGGUAUGUGCAGAAAAAUGGAUACGAGUAAGCAAGAUUUAAAAAGAAAAAUCAAGCUGCAAAAGGUCAAGUGUCAAGAAAAAAUCACAAAGUAAAAGACAAAAGCACUCAUCAUAGUGUUCUUUCCCAUGAGAACAAUGGAGUCACCUCUCAAACCCUUCCUAG
rnacentral:lncRNA from 1 species